rnacentral:tmRNA from 1 species
GGGGACGAUCGGUUUCGACAGAAAGCUCUUUCAAAAGACGGCAAGCAGACUUUGAUUCUAAGUCUUUGAUAAGAAUCAAAAAAUUAAAGCUAAUCAUUCUGAUUAUGCUCUAGCCUACGCGUAAGCUUAAGCUGGCAUCCUGAGAUUUGAUUCUCGACCGAAUCGACUGGGUGUAAACCCGUUCGAGAUGCCUUGCAGACUUUACUGAUUUAAAGGUUUACAGGAAAGACAAAUAAAUCUUACUUCAAAUUUUCUUGUUGGUUAGAUUAAAUUUGAAGGAAAUUAAAAAACCAAAUAAGCUUGUAGAAAUCUUUUAAAUGACUUUUUGGACGAGGGUUCGAUUCCCUCCGUCUCCACUU